UACGUAGGGUGCGAGCGUUGUCCGGAAUUAUUGGGCGUAAAGGGCUCGUAGGCGGUUUGUCGCGUCGGGAGUGAAAUCCACUGGCUUAACUGGUGGCUUGCUUUCGAUACGGGCAGACUGGAGGUAUGCAGGGGAGAACGGAAUUCCUGGUGUAGCGGUGAAAUGCGCAGAUAUCAGGAGGAAUACCGAUGGCGAAGGCGGCCAACUGGGCCGGACCUGACGCUGAGGCGCGAAGGCGUGGGGAGCGAACGGG
rnacentral:rRNA from 1 species